GUAGGUGGCAAGCGUUGUCCGGAAUUAUUGGGCGUAAAGCGCGCGCAGGCGGUCCUUUAAGUCUGAUGUGAAAGCCCACGGCUCAACCGUGGAGGGUCAUUGGAAACUGGGGGACUUGAGUACAGAAGAGGAAAGCGGAAUUCCAAGUGUAGCGGUGAAAUGCGUAGAGAUUUGGAGGAACACCAGUGGCGAAGGCGGCUUUCUGGUCUGUAACUGACGCUGAGGCGCGAAAGCGGGGGGAGCAAACAGGAUUAGAUACCCUGGUAGUCCACGCCGUAAACGAUGAGUGCUAAGUGUUAGGGGGUUUCCCGCCCCCCUUAGUGCUGCAGCUAACGCAUUAAGCACUCCGCCUGGGGGAGUACGGCCGCAAGGCUG
rnacentral:rRNA from 1 species